UACGGGGGGAGCUAACGUUGUUCGGAUUUACUGGGCGUAAAGGGGGCGUAGGCGGCCUGACAAGUGGGGAGUGAAACCCUUCGGCUCAACCGAAGACCUGCUUUCCAAACUGUCGGGCUCGAGUCCGGGAGGGGAGACGGGAAUUCCUGGUGUAGCGGUGAAAUGCGCAGAUAUCAGGAGGAACACCGGCGGCGAAGGCGCGUCUCUGGACCGGUACUGACGCUGAAUCCCGAAAGCGUGGGGAGCAAACAGG
rnacentral:rRNA from 1 species